UCCGUAGGCGGGCAAUUAAGUCAGAGGUGAAAUCCCACAGCUCAACUGUGGAACUGCCUUUGAUACUGGUUGUCUUGAGUUACAGUGAAGUAGAUAGAAUAUGUAGUGUAGCGGUGAAAUGCAUAGAUAUUACAUAGAAUACCGAUUGCGAAGGCAGUCUACUAACUGUAUACUGACGCUAAUGGCCGAAAGCGUGGGGAGCGAACAGGAUUAGAUACCCUGGUAGUCC
rnacentral:rRNA from 1 species